ensembl:lncRNA
UGAGACUGGGGCAUGUGUGCUUCAGGCAGUGGCCUGCAGUGAAAGAUGACAAAUCAUUUUAGCAUUUGGUGACUUGGCAUAAGGAAACAUGCUGCCCGAUCCUAUUACAGCAACCGCCCUCUGCCAGAAAGCUCCUAACGACGGGGAUCUUCUAAGGUUGCUAUUAAGAUAAUUACUCGGACUUAAAACAUGGUGGUUGUUUUUUUUUUUUACUGGGCAUAAAAUUUUGGUAGCCUCUGCCCCCCUCAUUUGGCACUGGUGAGGCCACACCUCAAGUACUGUGUUCAGUUUUAGGCCUCUCACUACAGCAAAGACAUCGAGGCCCUGGAGCGUGUCCAGAGAAGAUCAGUGAAGCUGGUGAGGAGUCCGGAGCACAGGUCUUACGGGAGCAGCUGAGGGAACUGGGAUUGUUCAGUCUGCAGAAGAGGAGGCUCGGGAGGUUGUAUAGCAAGGUGUCAUAUGCCAGGUAGCAUGAAGAAGUUCUCUUUGAAUACAGCUUGUUUCUAAAAGAUUAUUAAAAAACUGUUGGAUUUGUGAAGAGUGCGAAACAGUAUUUCCCAUUUGCAAUGAAUGGUCUGAUUUUAUCACUUCUUGUGCUUUUUGAGAUCUUUCCUGAUGGGCAUCAUUUGCAUCAUUCCCAAAUACGAGCAAAAGAUGUCCUUUGGCCUUAAAAGCGUACAUAGAAGACAAAAAAUUGAGAGGUCUCAUCUGCAGUAACAAUUGUCAGAAGCUCCUCUAAAUGCGCAGCUCCACUAACAGUCACUACUGAUGAUAUAUUCUACUUUCAUGUUCUCUUGACGUGUUUUGGUGCAGGGACAAAAACACUUUUGCACUGUGUAAUUAGACAGGUUUCUGCUGAUACCAUCAGUGGGUAUUUAACAAGAGCAGAGAAGCAGAUGGUAGAAAUCUAUCAUAUACAAAUUAUUUCAUUUCUUUGUGCUUUCUUCUCCUCUUCUUUUCCAUUGCUUUCCUUUCGGUUUUCCUUCUAGAUGGGGAGAUUUCUGGAAGGAAGACCAAUUCAUGUCGUGUGUUAGUGAAUCUUCAAGCAAACACGUCAGUAUCUGUAACAACAACACAUUAUGCCAAUAUCCAAAGAAAUGCCAUAAUAACUAGGCAAAAAUGUGGACCGAACGACAUGAAAGAAUCCUUUCAUUGAAAGGAAGCGAAUAAUUAGAAUGUUGGGAAGAGAG